AGAACGAACGCUGGCGGCAGGCCUAACACAUGCAAGUCGAACGCUCCAGCAAUGGAGAGUGGCAGACGGGUGAGUAACGCGUGGGAACCUUCCCUAUGGUUCGGAAUAGCUCAGGGAAACUUGGGGUAAUACCGGAUAAGCCCUUCGGGGGAAAGAUUUAUCGCCAUUGGAUGGGCCCGCGUCGGAUUAGCUAGUUGGUGGGGUAACGGCCCACCAAGGCAACGAUCCGUAGCUGGUCUGAGAGGAUGAUCAGCCACACUGGGACUGAGACACGGCCCAGACUCCUACGGGAGGCAGCAGUGGGGAAUAUUGGACAAUGGGCGCAAGCCUGAUCCAGCCAUGCCGCGUGAGUGACGAAGGUCUUCGGAUUGUAAAACUCUUUUGCGGGACGAUAAUGACGGUACCCGCAGAAUAAGCCCCGGCUAACUUCGCGCCAGCAGCCGC
rnacentral:rRNA from 1 species